rnacentral:lncRNA from 1 species
GAUAAUGAUAUAAAUUCAUUCAUAUCCUUGGAAUUAAUAUGUAGUCUCUAAUUUUCUCUAUAUUAUUAUCUUCACUUGAAUAGUAUAUUUGUUCAUUUUAGUGAUUGUAAGUCAUGUUUAUUUAUACAUACCAAGUGAAGAAUUUAUAUUUUUCAGAAGUAUAAUUGUCAUACCAUUUUUUACCUAUAAAAUAUGAUUU